GAAAAAGACUUGUCCCAAUUGGCCAGACAAAAGGACUGAGCUGGAAAGGAUGUGCAGCAGGUUAGGGUGGUAAAAGAUACACAUGGUAAUGUGCUGACAAGUGAAGAGAGUAUGUUGAGAAGGUGGAAGGAAAAUUUUGAGGAGCUAAUGAAUGGAGAAAA